UUUUUUUUUUUUUUUUCUUGAGAUGAUCUGAAUCAGAACAGAGCGAAAUGUCGAUUAAAAGAACUGAACAUGGAGAUUUUACUGCAGCAGGCCAAAACACACUAAAAACGGAAAUAGGAGAAGAAUGAAAACAAAAGAGGAGCUAGGAAACUACCGCAUAGCAAAACAAAGAACCAAAAAACAAGAGCCAACAUUAUUUUACUUAGUUCGUGAAUUUUGAAAAGAUUUAAGAUUCCUUGAAAGCCAAAUAAAACAGCCACAAAAGUUUCUAUGAAAAUGCUAUCAAUUGUAAUCAAACAAGGCCAACUACCAUUAAACUGUCACUCCCAGAGAUCCAGUAAGAAUUGACCCCAUUUGAAGACUACAAACCUCACCUAGAGAAGAGAAUUUGGCUGGAAUUAAAUGAGAAACAUUGAUGUUGCUACUGAAAGAAAAUCUAUUACAAUUGAUCCGCUGUUUUCACAUGGAAAUAGAUUCUUUAUUAUAAGCUUUUGCAAAUAAAUUCACUUAUAAUAAGUCUUGUUGCUCUGAUUCCUCGAUAAGUUCUUCCUCACUGCUUACUUUUACAAUUGAUUCAUCGUCUAAUCAAUAGAGGAUGGGGGGUUUCAGACACAUUGAAUGAACGGAACAUUUGACCCAGAGAGAGAUAAUUGAUUGCUUAAACGGCUUGACAAGAUCCCGAGAUUUGAUGCUGCUUUGAAAUGAUAUUAUAUAAGGCGUUAUCGAAUGUGAAGAGAAAACAAUAGAUGGGUAUAAGAAUCCUCUAAGGUUUAAAGUAUCAAAAUUUAACCUCUGGGUAUUCGAGAUGACAAGAAUUUCUUUCUUGUCAAAAUAAUGAAGUGGGAAAGCUUUUAGAAACCUUGGCUUCACCUCGUUAGUACUAAAAUUAAGGAGAUAAUGCACCAAGGGUGCCUUUGAACCAACAACUACUUCAUUCAACUUAUCUUCAUUCAGCAAAAUAAAUUCUCCAUCUUCCAUAUCCUCCCUCAAUCCACAGAAUUUGAAGUCCUUGAAUGAUGAAUCACCAUGAAGUGAAUUACUCGAACUUGGAGUGUCCACAUAAGCUAUAUCACCAAAUUGGAGAGAAAAAUUUCUAAUAUUACCAUCCUUGAUAACAAUUUCACCUAAAUGAAGCUACAUAUGGUUUUAUAACUUCUAUGAAAUUAAGGGUUUGGGAGUCAUUGCUGGCUAAACCACCUAAAUAUUUUCCAGGAUUCAGAAUUCAAAAGCAAGUUUCUAAUCUAAUUGAUAUCUGGCCUCCAUGGCUUUUAAUAAACUCUGGACGAGAGUGUUUCUUAUUAGACCAAAUUGACAAUUACUCAAUCUUCAAGUGAAUAUCUCUGGAAAGUUUCUACUUACCAUCAAAAUUGAAUUAUGAAAAAUCAUAAUCAAUCAUCACUAAUAUCUUUUUUCUUUUUUUGAAAAGGAGAUAACCCUCGAAACUUUAUUAAUAAAAUCAAGACUAAAGCUCAAAGAGAUCUUAUCAUCCAUAAAAUGAUUAAUAGAAACUUUGAACUGAAAAAAUUCUGAUUCUCAACAUCCUUCCAAGAGUAGUGGGCAAGCAACUCAUAAAUCACUAGAAUGGAGUUUCUUACCGAAAAUGAAAGGCCAAGGGAAUUGCGUUUCUGAAAAAUAACUUGAGUUAUGGUUGAUCACUUCCACAUAACUUGAAAUUUUCUUGUGAGUAACCAACCCUUCUUGAGAAUUUCUUGUUGCUACCUUCAACUCAUGAAAAAACUUUUGUACUUCGGUUGCAUCUUGCACGUUCAUGCCAACAGAAACUCUUGUUGCAUGAAAAAUAUAUCACUUACGAUUUUCCAGAAAACCAUCCAUCUCUUUUUCUUUUUAAGUUGAUGCCAACAGAAACUUGCACGUUCUUCCAUCCUCUUGAGAAGGCCAAGUAGAACAUUUAAAAUCCCAACCAUAAGAUGAUCUAAAUUUAGUUACAUAAUGCCCUAAAAAUCAUCUACAAAUUUCUUCAGAAAGAAUGAAUGAACUUUGCAGCAAUUCAACCAUCGCACCGCACGUUUGGAUAAACAGUGGAGAGGAACUGAAAGGGAACUUUCUGAUUACUUCCCAUUUCUUCCAUAAAAGAUAUUUUCACCCAAAAUAUUGAAGAAGAUACUUCAAAUGCAACAACUUUUCAAAUCCAUAAAGGUAGAAUUAAAUCUGAAACGAGCAGGGGAGCCAACCAAAUCUGAAAAAUAAUGGGCAAAAGUGAAGGACGGAAAGAGUCUGACAGUGGUGAUGGGGAAGGAAGAUGUAGAAGAGGAGCUGACAACAAGAAAGAAAGAUUGGGAAGGACAAACCAAACUCGGAAAUGGAUCCACUUGAAAGAGAUGAGAAAAGAAACAAAACCCACAGAGACGAGAUGGUGACAAAAAUCAAUGACUAGGCAGUUAUUAUGGCUAAUGGCGACGACCACGGAUAAGACAGAUGGUGGGGACAACAACAAUGACAUCAUCAGAGGUUGGCAAUUAGGAUUUGGGGGAGGGAGACGAGAGAGCGGGUGACUUGUUUGGGGCUGGUCUAUAACUAUUUUUGAAGUUUUCAUCAACAAUUUCUAAAUUCUUCUCCCUACAACACGUCCUUUGCAUUCUUCUAUGAUCUAUUUAUAUUGCUUUCUGUAUAUGCAGUAUAAUUCUUCGAAACGGUCUAAACAAAUAUCUGCAUAUAGCUAUCUUUCCUACCAGGGUGCAUUUGAAUUAAAUUUAUCAUCAAGAUCCUUUUUUCUUAACUGACAACAUUGAUUGCUUUGAAGGCAACAGCAGGUGGUGGAGGACGUGGCAUGAGGCUUGCUAAAGAGCCUGAUGAAUUCGUGAAGUUGUUGCAGGUACUUGUUAAUGCAAUUUGUUUAACUGUAAGGAUACCAUGUGUUUGUACUUUGUAUUUUUACUUUCUUCCAAAGAAAAAUAGUUCAUAUUCUUCAAAAAACAAAUUUAAAUAAAAAAAUAAAAAAGAAGAAAAGAAACACACAAAAACAUACUCUCUUAUACAUGUGACACAAUCAAGUGUUUCCCUGGUAACACCGAGUUUUUGGGGAUCAUCCUGCUAAAAGGAUGUAACAGCAGGUGAUCACAAAAGUUAGAAUGUAACAACAGGUGACCACAAAAUGACCCAGACAAUUUCUCUAUAGGGUAUUUGUGCAGAACCUUUUAUAUACUAUUCCUCCUAUAUUUUGUUCACUUAUCACUAUUGGAUGUCUAUAUUAUAUGAAAAAGAUUAAUAUAUUUAUAAGUUUCUUCAUAUUCCUUGCAUUAUGAAUUGGAUAUUUCAUUAUGUUUCUUCCAAAUAUUGCAUAGCUAAAUUACAGUGUUGUAGUAGUAGGUGAAGCUUCUAAUUAUGUUUGAUAUUUUUACUUCAUUACAGCAAGCCAAGAGUGAGGCUGCAGCUGCAUUUGGGAAUGAUGGUGUUUAUCUUGAAAAGUAUGUCCAAAAUCCAAGGCAUAUUGAGUUUCAGGUAAUUAUUCCAAAAUCUCAGGAAAUUAUUUUUUAGUACAGACAAAAGUAUUUUAUCUUCCCACUUCACGGAAAUAUUAAGCAGUGAAGAAUGAUCAAACACAAGAAUCAACAUUAUUGAAGGAAAAUAAAUAAAAUGGAAACUAGCUACUUGAAAAUUUGAACCUAAUGGAAUGGAUUUUGGUAUUUCAAAUGACCGGAUCCCUUUAGCUUUCCUGCAUCUUUUGUAGUUUGUUAGGUUUUGUAAUCAUUUCCUUUUUUUGUCAGCUUUUCUUCUAUUCUUGUUUUGGCCUGAUACAUUUGAGAAAAGUACACUCAAUGAAUAAAAAAUAGAACAAAAAAUACAAUAAUAAAAGUUUCAAUUGACUGAAAUAAUGGUAAGGGUUCAGAGGAUAGUGAUGUUAAUCUCAAGCAUGUAAUUUUGUAUUUUACAACUGUUGGGAAUGAUUUUGAGAUUGAAUGGAUACAUAUCCUUCUCAAUCUGUUUAAUCGGGAGCUUUAUUCCACAUUUUUUUUUCCUUUUCUUCUCUAAACAUUUACACUGUAUAUAGCCACUUGAUUUAUCAAUCUGUCCACUUUUUGCUUACGUAGGUUCUUGCUGAUAAGUAUGGAAAUGUUGUUCAUUUUGGAGAGCGUGAUUGCAGCAUUCAGGUUUUCUUGGCAAUAUCUAUUUCACAUUUGCCUUCUCUUUAAGAUUGUUAGACUGUUGAGCUUAUUUCAGUAUUUGUGUGGACUUGUGCAAAUUCAAACAUUUUAUUGAUUCGUUCAUUCGUAAGAAACAAGAAAGUAAUUGGAAGCACACCAAAUAUGAGACAGGUCAUGAGAAAUCAAUUGAAAUGACAAGUGGAUCAGAAUUUUUUUUUCUCAUUGUUGACUAAGAAGAAAACGAUUGUAUUUGCUAAAAUGGUUUAUGAAUGGAACACCACAAGGCCAAAUCUGUCUUCCCAGAGGAGUUGUUGAAGGGUCUUUGAUUUCUUUAGGGGCUAAGUGCAUAUGUCUAACAUUUUUACCUUAUGUUUAAGUGCACUGUGUACUAUCAGUUUCUUAAGGUGUUUGAUCUAAUAAAUUAUUUAAGUCUGAAGUUUUUAAAGAAGCAGAAAAUCAGCCAGGUAUUAAUUGCUGCUGGAUUUUGUAUUUUAAAGAAGUCAACUACCACUUCAUUUUUUUUCUCAUUAUUUUCCGGUCUGUGUUUAGCUACUCAUCCAAAAUGCAUUGGUUGCUUUGGGAAUGGCAAUCUAGUUUGGACUCCACUUCAUCCAUGAUCUAAAGACUUGAUGCGAAUUUUGAAUUACUUUAUUUGAAGAAAGAAAUAUGUUUUAAUAACGUCAAAACUUGGAUAAAAAUGGAAAUCCCUAUCUGAAAGUGUGUAUGUAUGCAACUCUGACAUGCAUGAUGAUCUUGAAUUUACAGAUGUGAUCAUACGUUUUAUUUUUCUCUUUAGACAUCUUAUGCAUGAAAUAUUUCACUAAUGUAGAGACGGAACCAAAAGCUUCUAGAGGAGGCACCAUCUCCUGCCUUAACACCUGAGUUAAGGAAAGCUAUGGGCGAUGCAGCAGUUGCAGCUGCUGCCUCUAUAGGUUACAUUGGGGUUGGGACAGUUGAGUUCCUGUUGGAUGAAAGAGGCUCCUUCUACUUCAUGGAAAUGAACACUCGGAUCCAGGUCAAAUUUAUUUUUUAUUUUAUAGACUGGUAUAUCUGUUAGCAGAAUGAGAUUUCAUGCUUUCUUUUUAUGGGUUAUUGGUCACAACAGGUCGAGCAUCCCGUGACAGAAAUGGUAUUUUCUGUUGACUUGAUUGAAGAGCAAAUUCGUGUAGCCAUGGGAGAAAAACUUCGGUACAAACAGGUGAAAAGGAAUGUUGUAACUUGUAAGUGAAAGUUUGUUUGAAAAUGGUCUGUCAACCUUUGCUUUAUGGUUGUUUAUAGGAAGAUAUUGUACUUAGAGGACACUCGAUCGAAUGCCGCAUCAAUGCAGAAGAUGCCUUUAAAGGGUUCCGACCUGGACCAGGUAUGAUGAUGGUGCAAUGAUCUACUCCAAGCUAUGCAAGCACUCCUAGCUCUUGUCUUUGAUUGUCAAUUAAUUGAUAAUCUGGCUUUCUAAUUUUACUCCUGAAAAUGAAGAUUCAAAGAAGAAAUAUGUUUCCAUUCAUUGAGUUCUUAUUAUUAAUAAAGGAGUUUGUCUCCAUUUCAAAAAAAAUAUGUUUCUAUUUUAACGGUAAUUAACUCUAGUAAGCAUGUUUCUUCUCAACUGACAGGAAGAAUUACAGCUUACUUACCGUCAGGAGGACCAUUUGUUAGGAUGGAUAGCCAUGUUUAUACUAAUUAUGUAGUGCCUCCAAACUAUGAUUCUCUUCUUGGAAAGGUAUGUUAGAUUAUUCCUUUAAUUUAUAAUUUGAAAAGUUUGCUAAGUAAUAUAUUAAUGUGUUGGUCUUAAUAUUUUAUAGCUUAUUGUUUGGGCUCCAACAAGAGAAAAGGCAAUUGAGCGUAUGAAAAGGGCUCUUGAUGAUACUAUUAUUACAGGUAAUGGAGCAAGUUUGUUAAUAAUCUUGUUUAAUUUAAUUUAUAUUUUUUUGGGUGUAUAUUAAGGGAUACAUUUUUGUGAAUAGACAUUAAUUUCUUGUGCUGAAUCUGUUGGAUUCCUUUCUUGUGCAGGGGUUCCUACAACCAUUGAAUACCACAAGCUAAUUCUUGAUGUAGAGGUAAAAAAGAACUUGGGAUUCUACUUCUGUAAAAUUAUCGAAAAUAUAGUUAGUUUCAAGUUCAAUGGCAUCCAUCUGAACAAAAGUGAUUUUAUGUAAUGGAAGCAUUCAAUCAGACCUGCUAGAAAACUAGAGAUGGUGUUUUCAUGGGUCGGGCUUUACAAUAUUUGAGACCCAAUCCAAUUAUUUGGGUUGAGGAAUCCUAUAAUUCAAACCAAUACAUAAACAUUGGGUUGGCUGGUGGGUUUCAUCAAAUUUUGAUAAAAAUCUACAUCUCGUAGUGUGUCAUUUGGUCUAAUUGCACAGCAUUCAAAUCUGCCUCCAAAAAGUGUUGAAAAGGUUGACUAUCAAAAUUUGAACCCAAUCCAACCCAUAUCAUUUUUGUUUGGAUUAAAUUUAAUUUUGGGUAGGAGAAUUGGGCUUGGAUGCGGUAGGAACAAGGUAUUAUAGUCAAAUCCUUAAUCUAUUAUGAUUAAUGAUUAAGAAAGAUUAGUUUGUUUUAUUUAUUAGGAUUAAGAUUAAUUUCUUUUAUUAAUUAGGCAUAUGAUUAGGAUUGGUUUGCUUUUUAAUUAUAAAUACAGCACUUGUCUUCUUAGAUUUGCAACUUUUAAACAUUAAUAAAAUUUUCUGAUUUGGUAUACAUCACAUUAAGUUUAUAAAAUUCAGAUCAUAUAUUAUCUGUGAACCAACCAACCCAUCUACUCAAACCAUAUCAGUUGGGUUGAAUUGUUUGAGUUUCUCAAGUCGUCUCUAUCUCUGUGAACACUUCUAACAGUUGAUUGUGUUGCAGGAUUUCAAGAAUGGUAAGGUGGAUACUGCGUUUAUUCCUAAACAUGAAGAGGAAUUAGCUGCGGUAAGCCGUAAUUUCUUUAACAUGUGAUUCUUUUUCAAUCAAAAUAAUGAAUGAAUGCUUAACUUUUUGUGUGUGUGUGUGUGUGUGUGCAGCCUCAUAGCAUAGUGUUAGCCAGAGAUCUAUCAGUUGCUUAAAAAAGGAUUCUUAUUCUCAGCGCAGUUCAGAUCAGCUUUAUGUAUUCUUAGAAAGCUUUUUUUCUUCUUUUGGUGUUAGUAGCACGAAUUCCACCAUUUUUUUCGCUUCAAUUUUCCUCGUCCCUGCUGUAUGUGAGCUUUUUUUGUUUGUAUGUUUUCUUCCUUUUUUGGUACUAGAAAAGGGUACUUUGUUUUGAAACAUUAUUUAUAAAAUACAACCCAUACCCUCUCUAAUCUGUUUUGUUGAUUCUUAAACAGUAGAACGCCUCUAAUUUUAAAUGGUUAUAUAUAUUGUUUUUAAAUAUAUAUCUACCAAUACAACAAAUGGAAGUCUAUUGCAUUCUAUCCAAAUUUAUUGUAAAUAGGGUGAUAUUUUGUUAUAUUUAUAAUAUCGACAUCGUCUUAUUCUUUUUUUCAUUAUCAGAUAUGGUAUUAUUCUUCUUCUUUCUUCCUCUUUUUUAAGAGCACAUCGUACACCAAAAUUUAAACGUAAGUUAUCUAUUUUAGAUACAUAGAGAUAGAUAGUGAUAGUAGUCUAUCUAUGUCUAUCUACUCUAAAUAGACAAAUAUAAAUCAAUAUAUAUUUUGGAUAGAUUAGUGAUAGAUUUAAACGAUCGUUUGCAAAGACUUAAAUACCAAGAUCAUGUACGAAUAUCAUUUAGAUUUGGUACAAGAUCGUUUAGAUUUGAUAUAAGUAUCGAUUUGGCACAACUACCAAAAUUGUUUUACGAAUAUCUGAACGAUUAUGUACCAAGCUUUUCUGACGUGUAGCCGAUUAAUUUAGGAGUAUUUUAAAUGUUUUUGCGUUUUUGUUCUAUUUUUGAAAAAAAAUCCAAAAUAGAAACUAUACCCUCUUCACACAAGAAAUCAUUAAAAAAUGUUUUGUCCAUUUUAAAUCUAUUUUAAAAUCGAUUAUUUUAAAAGGGUCCAACAACCAUUUUACAUUAAUACCUAAAAUUUAAAUUGAUGUAGUUCUAGAUUUAUAUCAACUGCUGCAGAACUUAGAAAUAGUCCAUACUGGCGUACUUCAUUGUUGAUCUUUCCAAAAACUGAAAACAAGUCUAACAUUAUUAGUUUUGUACAAAAAUUUUAUAAUUUAGCUAAUUUUGAUUAAUUUUGAUGAAGUUCUGAUUUUGAACGCUCAACGGACACGUGUUCUCAUGUUAUUGAUUUUUGUAUUUUAAAAUGUCACGUUACAAUACACGGUCUUUAACUCGUAUAGCCUAAUUUACUAUAUGGAUAUUACAAAAAAAACACAAAUUGUUAAUAUUUUAUACAAAUGUACCAAAUGGGCCACAAUAUUACACAAAAAUAGGCCCAAAUUACCAAUAUCCCCAUAUGAUAUUUUUUAUUGUUUUAAAAUAUACAAAAGUAUUAAUUAUAAUGAGAAGAUCGUAGGUCAUUAAAAUAGGAAAGUGAUGGAAUAGUUUUCUUACUUUUCAUAUUAAAAAAAAAAUCAAAUCCCUUUCGACAUUGAAGAAAUUAUUCGACGAUUUCGUUUUCGACAGUGAAAAAGAAGGGUUUCAUCGAUUUCGACAGUGAAGAAGUUAUUCGACAGCCGACCAGUUUCUCUGUUUUUCGACGGCCGAAAAAUAAAACAGUAAAGGUAUGUAUAAGAAAAAUAUUUGAAAUAUAUGACAUACUAUUAUCUAUAUACCAUGAUAUUUUUUAAAUGAUUAAUUAGGAAAGAGAAAGAGAUAUUUUUGCUUACAAGCAAGCAGUGAGGAUGAGCAUAAGGAGAGGAAAUCAUUCAUAAAAAAUAUUUAGGUCACUAUUCACAACCAAAUUUGGAUCAGCCGAGCCAAAGAAGGAAAACUUAGCGAUCACUAGUCAAGAGUUUGAAGGUCCAAGUUUCAAAUUAUUAUCCCAAUGAUUUUAGUAAUUUUAAGUUGAAUACGAUAGAGUUAAUGUUCAAGGUUAUGUGAUGAAGAAAAACUUCAAUUUCUGAAUUCAUUUACUUGUAAUUUUCGUUAAGAUUAAUUGGUGCACUAUUAGUAUUAUGCAAUCACUGAAACAUUAUAAGCAUAUAUUCUUUAUAUGAUGCAGUAUAUUGUUCCUGACAUAUUGUUCGAAUUAAUAUAAAAUGUUCAAUAUGAAUCUUAAAAGUAUAUUUGGAACAAGUUGUAAUUCUUAUAAGGGAUAGUAUUUAAUCUAAUGUUAUAGCAAUUUGAUGAUAUUAUAUAAAUGUUAUUUGUAUGGAAAAGUGUAUGGUUAGAGAGAACAUAAUAAUUUGUUUUUGCUUAUCACACAGAAUUUAGAAAUUUCAAGUUGAAUAUGAUAUAGUUAAUGUUGAAGGUUAUGUAAUGAAGAAAAAAAAUCAAUUUUUGUAAUCAUUUACAUGUACUUUUCGUUAUGAUUAAUUGGUGCACUGUAUGUAUUAUGCAAUCACUAAGACGUUAAAGUCAUAUAUUAUUUAUAUGAUGUAGUAUAUUGUUAUAUGGUGUUCAUUGUUCAUGGAAUUAUUGUUUGAAUGAAGAUAAAAUGUUCAAUAUAAAUCUUAUAAGUAUAUUUGGAACAAGUUGUAAUUCUUAUAUGUGAUAGUAUGUUAUUUAUAUUUAAUGAAAUGUUAUAACAAUGUUAUUAAGCAAAGAUAUAUCUCAAAAUUGUUCAUAUCAAUAAACUAUCUGACUUGGAUCUAAUGGCAUUGGACAAUUCAUUAUAUGACAUAUGUUCACAAACUACUAUAACUAACGUAAUUGUUAGUUUCGCUGAAAAAACCAUCGAAAUAGACCGCACUACUGACCAUCCUGACACACAAAUAUUACAUAUAAUUAUAAGAGGUGGUAUAUAUAUAAUAAAUCACAUAUACAAAGUAUUAUAUAUUACGAUAAUAUUAUAAAAUUAGUAUAAUGGUAAAUAAUAUAUGAUAUAUAUAUUAUAAAACAUCAACUAAAAAGUAUUAUAUCUUAAUGAUCUAAUCAUGUAGUUUUGAUGUUUAACUAUUUAAUUUUAAACGGGUAAAAGAACAUAUGACUUGCUGUUGAAAUUAUCUUAACUUCAGGUGAUGAAAAAUUGUAAAUACGAGCGACUUGUAAAAGAAGAUGCAGCUUACAGUUAUUACAAAAUUGGAUACAAAUUUGGCUGUCGAAAAAUUGUGAAAACAGAGUAAUGAGAAAUUAGAAAUUUAUGAUUGAAUUUUUUAAAGGUUUAAGUGAUGGACAAUAAUGAUUGCCGACGAUGGAGAAUAAUAUGUAAAAGGAUAGUAUUGGAAAGAAAAUAUCAUACGACUAUUAUAAAUUAAAAUAAAAUUAUCCAUAUUAUAAUAUAUUUUGAUUUAUAGUUAAUUGAGAAGAUACUUAAAAUUUAUUACCAUAUUCAUUAAUCACGUUAAAACAAGGAAGUUAUGAAAUUCAUAUUAAAUUCAAAUAAUUUUCAAUAAGAAAAUAUUUUAAAUAAUAUUAUGAAUAAAAUAUCUAAUUAAUAAACCUAAUAUCUAAUUAAUAAUUAUUGAAAGAUUAGAAUUGUCUAUAAAAUAUUAGUUUUACUAUUUAAGAAAAUAAAUUUUAAAUUAGAAUUUUUGUGAAAUUUCUUAUUCAAUCAAUCAAUGUCUCUGUCUAAAUCUUUUUAAAUAAUAUUAAGUUGUAUGUAAUUGUUGGACGAGUAAGCGUGUGUCAUGUAGCAAGAAGCAUAGGCAUCUUACUAGCGAUUCCGACUUCAUGCAGGCGAGUUGCAGCCUACAAUCCGAACUGAGGAUGAGAUUUUGGAGUUAGCUCACCUUCGCGGGAUCACAACUCUUUGUCCCGGCCAUUAUAACACGUGUGUCGCCCAGGGCAUAAGGGGCAUGAUGACUUGACAUCAUCCUCACCUUCCUCUGGCUUAUCACCGACAAUUUACUCAUGGUUCCAACCUCAAUGGUUGGAAACUAAACAUGAAGGUUGCGCUCGUUGUAGGUCUUAACUCGACACCUUACGGCACGAGCUGACGACAGCCAUGCACCACUUGUUUCCCCAUUCUUGAAGGCACCCCUCUUUCAAGAGGAUUCGCUAUUAAGUUGUAUGUAAUUGUGGGACGAGUAAGCGUGUGUCGUGUGGCAAGGAGCGAGUAGGCACAGGAGGCACACAUUGGUUUAAGGGGCAAAAUAGUAACUUAGCACCAUGUUGAUGCGAUGAGAAGGCCAUAUUUCAUUAACAUACAAAAGUUGGACCAAAUUUUGUUUCGGCCCUCAAGAGAUCGAUCAUCCUAACAGAAAAAAAAGAAAAAGAAAAAGAAAAAGCCAAGAUAGGAACCUCUUGUAGAAUUCUGACAAUUUACCAUCUUGGCUUCUUCCAUUAUCUCGAUAUGGCGUGGGGUUUAGGAGAGUAGUGUCCUCAAACACCCACAACUGGGAACGACGGAACCGGUUCCAUUGACAAGCAUGGCUUCUCUCCCAACUGCCGCUGUUAUUGCCAAUGUUGCAAAAACUGCCACCAAUGCUCGCUUUUUCUUCUUCUUCUCUUCUUCUCUUUCCCAUAACUUCGACCAUUAUCUCCCCUCCUUCGCUCCACCUCGAACCUUUUCUCGUUUCACUCCACCCCUUCGUACGGAUAAUGUCGCCGGAAGAAUCUCCAGAAAUGGUACACAGUUUCCGUUCUCAUUUUGCACUACUGCGUCCACUGAGCCGGUCACCAGUGACGCCUCCAUUGCAUUGUCGUCCACAUCAUUGGAUAAGGACGACGAUGAUCCGGAAAAGAAUAUUAAGGAUGCGGCUGACAUGCUCGAUAUUAGGGUUGGGCGAAUCAUUAAGGCUUGGAGACAUCUGGAGGCUGACACUCUUUAUGUUGAAGAAGUUGAUGUUGGUGAACCCGAGCCGAGGCUUAUUUGCAGUGGCCUUGUUAAAUAUAUCCCUCUCGAUCAACUUCUGGUACUUCAUUUUUCCUUCUUAUGAUCAAUACAUUUAACUUCUGGUUCAUUUAUAUAAGAAAAAUAUUUGACUGGACAUGCUUAAAACUUGAACUCUACCCAUUUUUUAUUUUACUGUUUUUCUUUUCAUGGCUUAUAGAUCGAUUCCUUUACCAAUUGGAGUCUUUUCCUUUUCCUCCUAUCUUGUCCCUGGUGUUUUUGCUGUAUAAAGUGGAAACCUCAGGAACCAACUCAGAUUGCAGUUUUAGAGACUAUUAAAGGUAGAGGAACAAUGUAGGACUACUUGGUCUUGUGAAUCUUUUAUUAAAAUGAUAUUGUGUUUCAUACAAGAGUGGAAGACUUUCCUAUUUAUAGAAACAAGUCGGGUGAAAAGAAAAUUAACCUAGAAUGCUACCCAAUUAACCUUCAUUCUUCUUAUAAUCAAGAAUUGAGAGAAAGUAUAUUUCUUAUUCAUCUAGAGUCAGAGUAAAGUUACACACAUAUAUAUAUAACAAAUAAACCCUAAUUGUAUGUACAAUUAUGAUAAAGGACAUAUAUUAUAAAUAUAUAUCAUAACACUCUCCAUCAAGCUGAAGCAAAUAUGUCGAUCAUGCCCAAUUUAUUUUCGUUGAGACAAAUAAAUACCUUUCUUGCUUCUAUCACUUAAAUGCUCAAAAAAUAUUUCAAUUGGUCGAAAUCUUUCGUAUUAAACUGAUUCUGAAGGAAAUUUUUGAGAGACGAAAUACCCGAUGCAUCAUUUCCAGUAAUAACAAUAUAUCAACAUAUACAACUUGUAAAAUUAUAACAUUUUCAGAUUGGCGAUAGAAAGCAGAAUGAUCAGAUUUACUCUUCUGCAUACCAAAGCAUACAAGAGCUUGACUAAACUUACCAAACCACGCACAUGGACUCUAUUUCAAACCAUACAAAGAUUUUCGAAGGCGACAUACUUUCUCACUCUCCUCCUGAGCAACAAACCCAAAUGGUUGUUCCAUAUAAACUUCCUCUUGAAGACCUCCAUGUAGAAAAACAUUCUUAAUGUCAAGUUGAUGCAAAGGUCAUUUAUGGCUAGCAACCAUGAAAAGAAAUAGGCAAAUGGAAGUUAAUUUGGCAAUUGGAGAAAAUGUAUUUGAAUAAUCAGUUCCAUAGAUUGAGCAUAACCUUUAGCAACAAAGCGAGCUUUCAAUUGAGCCACUGUUCCAUCAUAAUUCACCUUGACAACAAACACUCAUUUACAACCAAUGACCUUCUUUCCUGCAGGAUGAGAUACCAAAUCCCAAGUACCAUUAUAUGGAGUCAAUAGACGUAAUAAAAGCAUAUAUGAUGGGAGACGACCGGUGAUAGGAAACAAAGGAAGAAACAGGGUAAGUACAGUUGCGUUUACCUUUUCGAAGAGCAAUGGGAAGAUCAUCACUUGGCCUCGGAUCACUUGAUGAAGGAGGCAUUGAUGGAGGACAUGAAUCUAAAGGUUGUGGUGGAGGUUGUCGGUGUCGAAAUAAUGGUCAGUUGAAGAUGACCUAAACUUAAGCCUAAUGGAGAACGAAGCCACCAACUACGAUAUUCCAAAUUCCAAACCCUAACGGCUUUGAUACCAUGUAAUCAAGAAUUUAGAGAAAAAUAUAUUUCUUAUUCAUGUAGAGUCAGAAUAAAGUUACAUAUAUAUGUAUAGAGAGAGAACAAAUAAACCCUAGACUGUAUGUACAAGUACGAUACAGGACAUAUAUUUUAAGUAUAUAUCAUAACACUUCUUACAUUAGAUUUCCAAGAUUAGGUCUCAUAGAUGAAGGAACUAUCCUAUAGGUGAAUUGUUUAGUGUGUGAAUGGAAGAAGCCUCAGGGUGGAACUAAAAUUAAGAUAAAGUUUUUUUUGUUUUUUGCUUUCUAGAAUAUUUAUUCCAAGAUCUUGGCUGUGGGGAUGGCUGCGUGAGCACAAUAUCUUGUAGUUCAGCACAAUCAUUUCACACUAAUAACUAAUAAGUAUGGUCUGGUUUAGGUGAUUGGCAGCUUAGAAAUAUAAAAAAUGGAACUUUCAAGUUUUGGGCCUCACAUUACCAAUGCUUAUGUUUGUGUGCUAUGCAUGUCGUUACCUCUUUGACUGUUAUUUUGUAUUUGGGACUUAGUACUAGUUGGAUCUAGUUAAUGUUUAGGUUCUAUUAGACCUCCAAUCACAAAGGUAUGUUCGAAGAAGGGUAAAAUAGGAAACUCGGUCCCAAGUGUAGAUAACUACCCAGCUUUGCAUACUGUUAAAUAAAGUUGUAUAGUUAUUUAAAAGCAGAUAAGGAUGGGUAAUUAUUUUAGGGAGUUGUAAAUGCAUUUCUCUGGAUAUUUAAGUUUGUACUAUGGAUAGCUCUUGUAUCAUGUGGGAUGGGGAUGUCUGUUUCCUUGUUCAAGUCAAGUGUAAAUGUCGGGAGAGAAGGUUGACCUCACCUGUUGAAUUGGUCACUAAUUGAUAGAUUGUAAUCAUUAAACAUAUUAUCUAACAGUAAAUAAAGAGAUACUUAUGAUAUGACCUAUCAUAUUCAUAUCAAAGUAACAACUUUGGUAUGGGAGAAGAAAAGAACAUUAUCUUAGAAGGUUUGAAGUGGUAGAAAAAGAGAUGAAUGCAACAAUUGGAGAAUUAGAGUGCUUACUCGGGAUGGAGUGUGCCAUUGGCAAGUUGAAGGAUGAAGUCACAAAUUUUAGUGGCUUUUUGAGAGACCACUACUCCAAAGAACAUUAGUCAUUUAGUCGGCGUCUAUGCUUCAUAGACCUUUUGUAACCUAUAUUCUUUAACCGUUACUUUGCAUAGCUGAAGUCCUUUUUGUAGAGGGGGUUCCUUCUUUAUGGGCCUGGUUUUCUGUAUGUCAUUGUAUUUUUUCACUUUUUCCUGAUGAAAGAUGUUUCCAUCCAAGAAAAAAAACUUAGUUUAAUAUCUCGUGGAAAUUUGUGAUCAAGAUCAAAUGGAUUAUAGACUAAAUGGGUCUUUCACCGAUGAUAUUGUAAACUGUUUAUCGUGUUUUUAUUGUAUGAACGGUUUAAACUUUUUACUCUACUGCAACAUCCUUUACCUGUCUGAUUCGAACAUAACCAACAUAUAGGAUAGAAGAGUUAUUGUCCUCGCAAAUUUGAAGCCAAGAAAUAUGCGAGGCAUCAAAUCUUGUGGAAUGCUAAUGGCUGCUUCUGAUUCUUUGCACGAGAACGUUGAACUUCUUUUGCCUCCUGAGGGUUCGAUUCCAGGUGAAAGAAUAUGGUUUGGAUCUGAAGAUGAAAAAGGCAACCAACCUGAUGCUGCUGCCCCAAACCAGGUAAAGAAAAUUCUUUUGAAAAAUUUGAAUCCUGCAAGACAUGAAUGUCAUUUUAUAAUCUUACAUAUUUCAGUGCAAAUUAUAACAUAAACUUGCGUUGACAUCUACGCAUCCAUUACCUAAAUUAUUUUGAUAUCUGAAUAUCAAACUGUUACAUGUGGAUGAUUUCCAUCUCUAUAUGACAGUAGAACUUUUUUCCUUUUUUCUAAAAGAAAACAAAAAAGUUCAUGUGGUUGAUAUCAAAUGAGUUUUUUUUUGUUGCUGUGCUUUUACAUCUUCACAGUAUUCAUGUCUGUCGUUUUACAGCCUUUUGGGGGGUGUUUGGAUAUCCGUAAUGGGAUUGGAAUGCAUUGUAAUGUAAUCUAAAAUCCAUGUUUGGAUUGAGCGUUUUGAGUCCAAAUUGUAAUAUUAAACUCAUUUUGUUUAUGUAGUUUUCAAUUAAACUCUAUUAUCCAUUGUUUUCACAUUUUAUGAUUUCAUUUUUGUUUCACCCUCAAUUCGACACACAUUCCAAACACUCUUUUGAUUCCCAGUAAUUCUUACUACAUUCCAGCUCUCUAAACAUCUCCUACAAUCCUAUUGUUCCAGAAUUUCUACUUCUAUGUACUCCACUAAACAAUUUGUUUUGAACUACGAAAGAAGACUGUUAUGCUACAGAAACGGACUGAACUUGACAAAAGGGUUGAAUGCAGCCCCCACAUUAUCAACCAACUUACACAAAUAAUAAAAAUGUAACUGGCAAAUGAAAAGACAAAUAAUUACAACUGUAUUCAUUUUUCUAUUUGAAAGUCAAGUUUUUCUAUCCAAGAAGUAAUAACUAAAUACAAUUGUCCCCAAUUGUUCACAUUAACAAAGGGUUUAGGGUUUCUUCGUGUCAAUAAAGAAAAAAAUGCUCUCUCCUCUCUCCACCAAUCCCCGUUGUUUUAGCCUUCUAGCCUCCUCUAUGCUACUCUUUGACGACUUAGCCAACUAGCCUCUCACUAUUUCAAAGGUGCUUAUUGUGGCCUCAUGGAAGUCAAAUGUUACUUUUUUUGGGAAAAGGAAACUAUACCUUUUAUUGAUAAAAUGAAAAGAAGAGAGUAACGUUGAAAGUACAUAAAUCCUUAGAAAAGAAAAGGAAGAGAACACCAAGAGAACAUUUUUUUCUUUGAAAAGGAAACAAAUUUCAUAUGUUAAAUAAUGAGUCAGAGCUCAUAGUACAAGAGGGUUAUACAAUAUGUAAUUAAAGAACUAGGGAUUAGUAGACGCACCCGGACAUCUCAACUAGGUUGACACCCCUUUAACGUCCUCAUCAUAUCCAAAAACAAAAAUAAAGAUAAUGAAAUGACAUAAAGCUAAAAAAAAGUGGUCGAAAACAUAAAACCUUUACAUCAACAUCCUUUCAUGAACAAAAGACUAACUGACAAAUCUAAAACGGGAAAAGCAGGGCCCUUUCCUAACUCUCCUUUGCUGGACUCAAAAUGACUAAACAAUAAAGGCUUGCCAGUUGAGAUGAAGUCCUGUGUGGAAGAAUCCUGGAAUCCUUUGACCAUGGAGCACCAUGAUGAAGCAUUUAAACGGGCAUACUCAAACCGAUGGACCAUACUAAAGCCAUAUUGUGGAAAACGCAUUGAAUCCUUUCAAACCAAAUUUCUACUAAUAAAGCC
rnacentral:lncRNA from 1 species